rnacentral:lncRNA from 1 species
AUACCGUAUCUACUCUAAAUCAAUUUAAGGAGUAAAAUAAAAUUGAAAUGAUGUCUACAAGAUCAAAUAAUGUAAGGUGGUUAUCCUCUUGAUGUAUGCACUAGAGACAGUUAGUGGAUAAGAGAAAAGAGAGUGUGUGUGUUCUCAGUCACUUCUCAUUGUUACAAUUCACAGUGUCUACUUAUCUGGUAAUGGGUUGAUAGACCAUUAGUCUUUUAGACAGCUAAGAAGGUGAUUGAGAUCAACCAGUCACCAGUGUACGUCUAUAUACUGGAAGAAACAGUUAUCUUUAAAAAGAGGAUGUCAGUGUGAGCUGCUUCUAAACUGAUAGUCAAUAUGGUGUCAUGAAGGACAUAGACUGCCAAUGUGUAUUAUGUACAAGAUGGUUGGACUAAAGUAUCACAAACUGUUAAUGGUUUACACUAUCGAGAUGAAGAAGAGAAGAAUACAGCAAUAUUAAUUAUUAAUAAUGAGAAUCUGUAAAAUAACUAACAAU